rnacentral:lncRNA from 1 species
AUCCUAUUCAACUAGUAUCAUCCUUGAAAGAAAAUAAAAUGGCUAAGAAAACAUCUGGAUGCUAUAUUGAUAUGAAAUUGAAAGAGACACAGCCUACAUCAAGAGACUACUUAAACAAGUCAAAAUUCCAUGUAAUUUGUCUUCCUGCGAUGCAGUUGCUCUGCAGAUGCAGAAACAAGAGUUCUGUAACUUAAAAGAUGUGGAUAGACACAAGAAGCGCUUGCGGCC